rnacentral:rRNA from 1 species
AACGAACGCUGGCGGCGCGUCUUAAGCAUGCAAGUCGAACGGUAAGGGAGAGCUUGCUCUCCCCUAGAGUGGCGGACUGGUGAGUAACGCGUGGGUGACCUGCCCUGAAGAUGGGGAUAGCUAGUAGAAAUAUUAGAUAAUACCGAAUGUGCUCAUUUACAUAAAGGUAAAUGAGGAAAGGAGCUACGGCUCCGCUUCAGGAUGGGCCCGCGUCCCAUUAGCUGGUUGGUGAGGUAAAGGCCCACCAAGGCAACGAUGGGUAUCCGGCCUGAGAGGGUGAACGGACACAUUGGGACUGAGAUACGGCCCAAACUCCUACGGGAGGCAGCAGCUAAGAAUCUUCCGCAAUGGACGAAAGUCUGACGGAGCGACGCCGUGUGAAUGAAGAAGGCCGAAAGGUUGUAAAAUUCUUUUGCAGAUGAAGAAUAAGGAGAAGAGGGAAUGCUUCUUUGAUGACGGUAGUCAUGCGAAUAAGCCCCGGCUAAUUACGUGCCAGCAGCCGCGGUAACACGUAAGGGGCGAGCGUUGUUCGGAAUUAUUGGGCGUAAAGGGUAUGUAGGCGGUUAGGUAAGCCUGGUGUGAAAUCUACGAGCUCAACUCGUAAACUGCAUUGGGUACUGCUUGACUUGAAUCACGGAGGGGAAACCGGAAUUCCAAGUGUAGGGGUGGAAUCUGUAGAUAUUUGGAAGAACACCGGUGGCGAAGGCGGGUUUCUGGCCGAUGAUUGACGCUGAUAUACGAAGGUGCGGGGAGCAAACAGG